CACUGCCGAGAAAAGCCUCUAGAUAGAAAAUAGGUGCCCGUACCGCAAACCGACACAGGUAGUCAAGAUGAGAAUUCUAAGGUGAGCGAGCGAACUCUCGUUAAGGAACUCGGCAAAAUGACCCCGUAACUUCGGGAGAAGGGGUGCUCUUUAGGGUUAACGCCCAGAAGAGCCGCAGUGAAUAGGCCCAAGCGACUGUUUAUCAAAAACACAGGUCUCUGCUAAACCGUAAGGUGAUGUAUAGGGGCUGACGCCUGCCCGGUGCUGGAAGGUUAAGAGGAGUGGUUAGCUUCUGCGAAGCUACGAAUCGAAGCCCCAGUAAACGGCGGCCGUAACUAUAACGGUCCUAAGGUAGCGAAAUUCCUUGUCGGGUAAGUUCCGACCCGCACGAAAGGCGUAACGAUUUGGGCACUGUCUCAACGAGAGACUCGGUGAAAUCAUAGUACCUGUGAAGAUGCAGGUUACCCGCGACAGGACGGAAAGACCCCGUGGAGCUUUACUGUAGCCUGAUAUUGAAAUUCGGCACAGCUUGUACAGGAUAGGUAGGAGCCUUUGAAACGUGAGCGCUAGCUUACGUGGAGGCGCUGGUGGGAUACUACCCUAGCUGUGUUGGCUUUC
rnacentral:rRNA from 1 species